ACUUGUGAUGUCUUCAAAGGAACCACUGAUG
rnacentral:piRNA from 1 species